rnacentral:rRNA from 1 species
GAUGAACGCUGGCGGCGUGCCUAAUACAUGCAAGUCGAGCGAACAGACGAGGAGCUUGCUCCUUCGACGUUAGCGGCGGACGGGUGAGUAACACGUAGGUAACCUACCUAUAAGACUGGGAUAACUUCGGGAAACCGGAGCUAAUACCGGAUAAUAUUUCGAACCGCAUGGUUCGAUAGUGAAAGAUGGCUUUGCUAUCACUUAUAGAUGGACCUGCGCCGUAUUAGCUAGUUGGUAAGGUAACGGCUUACCAAGGCAACGAUACGUAGCCGACCUGAGAGGGUGAUCGGCCACACUGGAACUGAGACACGGUCCAGACUCCUACGGGAGGCAGCAGUAGGGAAUCUUCCGCAAUGGGCGAAAGCCUGACGGAGCAACGCCGCGUGAGUGAUGAAGGUCUUCGGAUCGUAAAACUCUGUUAUUAGGGAAGAACAAACGUGUAAGUAACUGUGCACGUCUUGACGGUACCUAAUCAGAAAGCCACGGCUAAUUACGUG